CAAAACUGUUGAAAUCGGCUCAUGCGUUCUGGAGUUAUAAUCAUUCACCAAACUUGUUCUCAAUUUUUAUAUAUAUAGAUAUAUUGUUAGUAAUGUUACCGCCCAAGAGCAUCAAUUCGGAAACAAAUAUGCGCUGUGUCUGUCUCUGAAAUCAGCAUUAUUAAUAACAACUUUUUAGCUUUUAAAGUCAUUUUUCAACGAAUCUAUUAUACCUUUUUACUCUACAAUCAACAGCUACGAAAAUAAAAAGAUCUGCUAGAACCAGCCAGUAAAAUUAAAAUAUUAUUUCAAAAAUAACUUAUCUGUUUCCCAUUUUUUUCAGUUUAGACACUGUUACAGAUGUUUUAGAAUUCAUAAUUUUUGCACAGAUUUGCAAACAAAUUGAUCAAAAAUCUUUGAUUCUUUGAUUCACCCAUCUACUUUUACAUGCACUGAUACAAAUUAAUUGUAACCAAAUGGUUGUAAUUGUCUAGCAGACAGUAGAAAAUGUGUCUCGUAUUGAUUUAAAAGUUAUGUUACCAUCUAUUUUUGGAAAACCCGAAACAGUUGAUUCAUACAGCUUUCCCUCUGCCUCCUUGGUAAAUAACAAAUAAUUAACGUGAAUCACCAAACACUAUGGGAACAAUAAAACAUGUUUUAAAAGAAAAUGAAUAUCAAACAAGAACACAUCUUAACAAGUUGAUUUGACAGAGAAAGGAUCAAACCAGCGUGAAAACGUUUGUAUGCAGGCCGAGGAUGUAGACGACUGAGAUCUCGCUUUGUACUGCAAAUAUAUCUGCGAAUUUACAAGACUAAUAAAUAAAUGAAGAAGUAUAAAAACAUUUACUAAAAACAUCACUAGCAAAGUAGUGCGAAAGGUGGAAAGAAAGUCGUAAGCAAGGCUGCCCCUACUAUCUACGACGCACUGUAAAAAAGAAAUCGGUCCUUUUAGGCCCCAAAAUGAGAAUUUUACACGGAACCCCUUGGCGGCCUCCCGAAGUCGGCAGAGGUCGUGCGUGCCCAAGAACACCAAUAUCACUAUUAAAAAGAUCCAUUUUUGCAAAACCAAAACAGGCAUCAUCGUUUGCACACAAAGAGAAACA